rnacentral:tRNA from 1 species
UCCGGGUUCAAAUCCGGUCUCCGCAA